CCUACGGGUGGCAGCAGUGAGGAAUAUUGGUCAAUGGGCGCGAGCCUGAACCAGCCAAGUAGCGUGAAGGAUGACUGCCCUACGGGUUGUAAACUCCUUUUAUAAAGGAAUAAAGUGAGGCACGUGUGCCUUUUUGUAUGUACUUUAUGAAUAAGGAUCGGCUAACUCCGGGCCAGCAGCCGCGGUAAUACGGAAGGUCCGGGCGUUAUCCGGAUUUAUUGGGUUUUAAGGGAGGGUAGGCCGGUCGUUAAGCGUGCCGUGAAAUUUUGGGGCUCAACCAUGAGAGUGCGGCGCGAACUGGAGACCUUGAGGGCGCGGAAGGCAGGCGGAAUUCGUGGUGUAGCGGUGAAAUGCGUAGAUAUCAGGAGGAACCCCGAUUGCGAAGGCGGCCUGCCGCAGCGUUACUGACGCUGAGGCUCGAAAGCGCGGGUAUCGAACAGGAUUAGAUACCCUUGUAGUC
rnacentral:rRNA from 1 species